GCCCAGGUCAGAGGACAAGGAGGAAGAGAGGGGUGGCCUCUCUCCUGGGUGCUAAAACCUCCAAAUGGAUCUCCAUGUACGCAGCUGCCAGACCUCGGUCUGAAAAAAAAACCUGUCCCAUUCUAAAUGGAGUAGAUUGCACAGUUAUCUCCCGAGUCUACGCUGGCACCAAGAACUCUGAGCCCCCAUGAAACCUCCACCACCACCACCGGGCAUAGUCCCACGACUACCCCCUGCCCGCUGCGCCCCAGACGCAAGCAGAGGUGACGCAUUCAGGACUGGCCCGCCAGCCAGAGACGCCCUCUCACAGGCGGUUCCCAAGUGCUGAGGAAGGUGAUGACCACACCCCAGAGAUCCACACACUCCUCCACCUCCACAGCUUCGCCCCAACCUCUCAAACGAGCUCCUCAGGCUUGGGGUGGCGUGCUCGGCCAGGGCCAGCCAGCCCAUUCCAACUGAGCCUAGGAAUCCAGGUCUCCCAGGAGUCAUUCUUUUGGGUCCCACUUUGAGCCCUGGACCUGCAGUCACAUUCCCCUCAACUGGCUGACUCUGCUCCGUGGGUGGGAGGGGAGCCAACCAGAGUCUGGCUGGUUCAAGUCCUCAGCUCUUCACAAACUUGCCCCGACAAGGACCCCCGAAUCACUGCUUCGGGGCCCCCCAGCAUCAGCAGUAAGCCCCACCUAUGUGGCUUCUUAUGUGUCCUGGCUUCCUGAACAAUGUCGCUGCGUAUAACCUUCAAGGACAAGGCUUUGGGGAGGGCCACAGACACCCUCCGAUCCCCGUUGCCAAUACUCCAGACCCUUCGUCCUCUGCUAGCCCACCUCUCAUGCCCCCACCCCCCUUCCCGUCCUCUCCCCCCCACCUCACCCCUCAGCUGCGGGCUCCCUUCUCUCCCCACUGGGCAUACACACCCGAAUCAAGGGCUAGCCCAACCCAUCAUCCUUGGGGGCCAACGAGAAGGAAGCUUCCCCAAUGAGCUUCAGAAAGGAAGUGAGUGCCACACCCUGCCCCAGGGAUUUCCCUCCUGGGGGCAGAAGAGACAGAGCACCAAAGGAGAAUCUUACUCCCCGAAUUUAGACCCAGCCCUGGUG
ensembl:lncRNA